rnacentral:lncRNA from 1 species
UAUAAUCCAAAUGCAUUCACUUAUUUUAGUUAACAUGCAAGCCCCAUAAUAUACAUUCUUUAAACGACUGGGUGGAGAGAAAAUACCAGCAAAGUUGGCAAAUGCCAUAAGGCUGGAUUGAUACUGAGACUCUUUCUUUAAACGACUGGGUGGAGAAAAAAUACCAGCAAAGUUGGCAAAUGCCAUAAGGCUGGAUUGUUGCUGAGACUCUGAAAUUUGUGUCCAUUGAAGCAGCAACAUAAGUUGUGAAUAUUGAUCCUUGGUUAAACCAGGAAUCAAAGAUUUUGAUUCAGAGGACCCCUGAGUACUAUCAGCAUUGUUUUGAGACCCAACAGAGUUCGGACACCCCUGCACCUCAACAUUUGCUGAAGUCCUCUUGCUCUUUGUAAAAUUGAAAUCUGGUGGGAAUCCAUGGAGUUUAUAGCACUUGUCAAUCAUAUUUCCAGGUUUCUUGCAAUAUCUACACACUAAGUUUGUCUUGUUGAGAUCAAAGCUGACUCUUCGAUUGAAUUGUUUAGGAUGGGCAGGUGUGCCAGGGAAUUUGUUGGUGAAGUAAGUAUUGAAAGCACUUGAGUCAUUACGGAAUUGAGAUGGUGAGGAAACUUGUAUUUGUCUCUUAUCCUGAAGCAGAAUGUUGUAUGCACUGUCUAGAGAUGGAGGAGGCUGCAACAUGAGAAUGUUGCUCCUAACUCCAACAUAGGUAUCAUUAAGCCCCAUGAGAAAUUGAUGCAGCUUGUUUUCAUCAUCCUCCUUUUGAAGCUCGACUUUGGCAGCACAUGUACAAGUGCUAUCACGAGAGGCACACAUAAAGCCCAAC